GACGAACCGUGCGAACGUUGUUCGGAUUCACUGGGCUUAAAGGGCGCGUAGGCGGGCAAGCAAGUCCGGGGUGAAAUCUUUCGGCUCACCGGAAAAGUGCCUUGGAUACUGCUUGUCUUGAGGGAGGUAGGGGUCAUGGGAACUUCCGGUGGAGCGGUGAAAUGCGUUGAUAUCGGAAGGAACGCCGGUGGCGAAAGCGCAUGACUGGAUCUCUUCUGACGCUGAGGCGCGAAAGCUAGGGGAGCAAACAGGGAUUAAGA
rnacentral:rRNA from 1 species